GGAAAUAUCGCAUAAUGGUAUUGCAGCGGGUUGCUAACCCGUCAUCGAGUAAUCGGUGUGUAGGUUCGAGUCCUACUAUUUCCGCCA
rnacentral:tRNA from 1 species